rnacentral:rRNA from 1 species
AGGUUCACAGGGCGUGAAGAGCUCGUAGUUGGAUAUCUGGAUUGAGUUUGUUCGUGAUUUCCACAACAAUUCAGUUCAUCCUUCUGUUAAGCACGUUGUACUUGUACCGGGGUCAUCACAGAAAUGUUACCUCGAGGAAUUGGAGUGAUUCAGGGGGCGAGGCGGAAUACAACAGCGGGAGGAUAAAGCCACAUGGCGGGGGGUGGCUGAAAAGAGAGAGUGAACGAAAGGGGGAACAAAUGUUCGUGGAGGUUGUGGUGGUUUUGACGGGAAAGCGGGCAACAUAACAGUGUAACUUGCGGGGAGUCCUGGCUGGAU